rnacentral:snoRNA from 2 species
AAGACUAUACUUUUAGGGAUCAUUUCUAUAGUUUGUUAAAAAUUCUCUUUCAACAACCUAAAGGGAUAACAAAAUUUCCUCACUGUAUGGAAA